CUCCUUUUCCACAGGGCAGGGCUCCCCGCUUCACCCUUGGGUCGCUCAGAGUUCACCAGCACUGCUUCUUCCCCAGGUGAGCCCCUGAUCAAAAGUAUAGCAGACAGGAUGGAAGAAGAUGGAUGGAAAGAUCUUGGUUAUGAGUAUGUGAACCCCUGCAAUGCAAGGGGGUUCACAAGGCAUGCAUUAGCCAGAUUCUGAAAGGUUUCCAAGUAGCAUUAAAUCCCUUGCUGAUUAUAAGUGCUGAUGAUAUUUUAACAAGCAAGAUCUAAUAUGGGAGCAUUGUUGCCCAUUUAAAUUUCCACCAGGCACUGCUGUACUAAAGGGCACUCUGAUUUUGUGGUACUCCUACUCAGCAAUUUCUGCUGGUGUGUCAACCAUGGAAGAUUAUGGAGGAAGAACAAAAGGAAGGGAGCAGAAAGAGUGAGCAGGGGCAUUAGAGAAUAAGUAGUAUGUAAUUUGUUCAGAGUUUUGGAAUGACAGAAGCAGUAGCAG